CAAAAGUAUUGCAAAAUGAUUAUGUAAAAUGAAAUUGUGAAGUUUUGGUUUCCUGCAGAUGCAGUUGUGUCCACGGAAGUAGCUGUUUUAUUACUGUUGAGACAACAGAAGAUGCUCACCCUAGAGUUUCCAAGUGAAAAACUGUAGACAUCUCCAGAACAUCUUGCAAUGCAUUUCUGCUAUAAGUCAGAAAAAGGUGCUGAAAUACAAAACAUCUGUUACACAACUCAACUCCACAGUGCUGUAUCUGACAUCGGCUCUGCAUCUGUGACAAGCCAGAGUGCCCAUGAUUCAAGUGCAGGUCUCUGAAUGUGGAACAUAUUAUACCACAAGAAUAUUUUACAUUUACAAGACAAGAAAAGGACAGGAUUCUCAAGUCUUCUUUAUUCCUGAUUACCUGAAGGUGCUGAGAAUAUGGUUCGGAUGGGCCAGAGCAUGUGCAAAAUCUUGGGAGGAGCG